UACAAUCAUCACAUAUAUCACACAAACACACAUAACACAUUAAGUGAAGUGAGUCAUAUUAAGUUUUGAUAUUCAUCACUACUUAAGAAGCCAUGGAGAAGAAAUCACUAGCUUGCUUGUCCUUCCUCCUCCUCGUUCUCUUUGUUGCACAAGAAAUAGUGGUGAGUGAAGCAAACACAUGUGAGAAUUUGGCUGGUUCAUAUAAGGGAGUAUGCUUCGGUGGAUGUGACCGUCACUGUAGAACACAAGAGGGCGCAAUUAGCGGCAGAUGCAGGGAUGACUUUCGCUGUUGGUGCACUAAAAACUGUUAAAUCCCUUUUCUCCAACACCAACAACACCCAUAUAGAAUACUAUAAUAUAAAUAAAUAAACAAGUCUUGUUUCUGAA